rnacentral:rRNA from 1 species
GACAGAGGUGCCAAGCGUUAGGCGGAAUCACUGGGCUUAAAGCGUGUGUAGGCGGAUUUGUAAGUACCUUGUGAAAUCCCAUGCUCAACCAUGGAACUGCUCGGUAUACUGCGAAUCUUGAGCCACUUAGGGGGCGACCGGAACAAAUGGUGGAGCGGUGAAAUGCGUAGAUAUCAAUUUGGAACGCCAAUGGUGAAAACAGGUCGCUGGGAGUGUGCUGACGCUGAGACACGAAAGCCAGGGGAGCGAACGGG